UUGAUUGUUUUUAGUACAACAUAUGUUUUAUACACUAUAAAUUAAUCAAGUCAUUAUAUUUGUUUCAUGCAAAGAGAAAAAAAUAUGACUAAAACAUUUAAGUUUGUGAUUGCUACGAUUUUAUUUCUUACCCUAUUUUUUAUUGUAAAGAACGUUGACGCACAAGUUAAAUGUAAAACUGUUAAAGAUUGUCCAAUAAGACGGAAUCGCAAGUAUUAUUGCCUUUUCGGUAUAUGUAAAUAUGAUGUCAUGUAGAAACCUAUUGUAAGAUAAGACCCAAGAGAGCAAACUUACAUGCAGGGAAGAAUGAGUUCUUUUGCACUCGAAAAAAAAAAAUAUGCAAUAUAUCUUGUACCAAAAAUUUCGUAGCUCUGAUUUAUUUAUUUAUUUAUAUUGGCGCUGGCUCCCGAUAA